AAUGAACGCUGGCGGCGCGCCUAAUACAUGCAAGUCGAGCGAGAAGACGUAGCAAUACGUUUGUAAAGCGGCGAACGGGUGAGGAAUACAUGGGUAACCUACCCUAGAGUGGGGAAUAACUAGCCGAAAGGUUAGCUAAUACCGCGUACGCUCCUUGGACUUCGGUUCAGGGAGGAAAGCGAUGCCGAGGGUAUCGCGCUCUUGGAUGGGCUCAUGUCCUAUCAGCUUGUUGGNGAGGUAACGGCUCACCAAGGCUUCGACGGUAGCUGGUCUGAGAGGACGAUCAGCCACACUGGCACUGCGAC
rnacentral:rRNA from 1 species